GAGUUUGAUCAUGGCUCAGGAUGAACGCUGGCGGCGUGCCUAAUACAUGCAAGUCGAGCGAACGGACGAGAAGCUUGCUUCUCUGAUGUUAGCGGCGGACGGGUGAGUAACACGUGGAUAACCUACCUAUAAGACUGGGAUAAACUUCGGGAAACCGGAGCUAAUACCGGAUAAUAUUUUGAACCGCAUGGUUCAAAAGUGAAAGACGGUCUUGCUGUCACUUAUAGAUGGAUCCGCGCUGCAUUAGCUAGUUGGUAAGGUAACGGCUUACCAAGGCAACGAUGCAUAGCCGACCUGAGAGGGUGAUCGGCCACACUGGAACUGAGACACGGUCCAGACUCCUACGGGAGGCAGCAGUAGGGAAUCUUCCGCAAUGGGCGAAAGCCUGACGGAGCAACGCCGCGUGAGUGAUGAAGGUCUUCGGAUCGUAAAACUCUGUUAUAGGGAAGAACAUAUGUGUAAGUAACUGUGCACAUCUUGACGGUACCUAA
rnacentral:rRNA from 1 species